rnacentral:rRNA from 1 species
GAUGAACGCCGGCGGUGUGCCUAAUACAUGCAAGUCGAACGCGUUGGCCCAAUUGAUUGAUGGUGCUUGCACCUGAUUGAUUUUGGUCGCCAACGAGUGGCGGACGGGUGAGUAACACGUAGGUAGCCUGCCCAGAAGCGGGGGACAACAUUUGGAAACAGAUGCUAAUACCGCAUAACAACGUUGUUCGCAUGAACAACGCUUAAAAGAUGGCUUCUCGCUAUCACUUCUGGAUGGACCUGCGGUGCAUUAGCUUGUUGGUGGGGUAACGGCCUACCAAGGCAAUGAUGCAUAGCCGAGUUGAGAGACUGAUCGGCCACAAUGGGACUGAGACACGGCCCAUACUCCUACGGGAGGCAGCAGUAGGGAAUCUUCCACAAUGGGCGCAAGCCUGAUGGAGCAACACCGCGUGAGUGAAGAAGGGUUUCGGCUCGUAAAGCUCUUUUGUUAAAUAAGAACACGUAUGAGAGUAACUGUUCAUAGUUGACGGUUUUUAACCAGAAAGUCACGGCUAACUACGUGCCAGCAUCCUCGGUAAUACGUAGGUGGAUAGCGUUAUCCUGAUUUAUUGGGCGUUAAGAGAGUGCAGGCGGUUUUCUAAUUCUGAUGUGAAAUCCUUUGGCUUAACCGGAUAAUUGCAUCGGAAACUGGAUUAUUUGAUUUUGAGUAGUGUUUGGAAUCUCCGUUUGUAGCGGUGUAAUUGUGUAGAUAUUGUGUAAGAACGUUAUGGUUGAUGGUGAUGUGUUGUGGUUUGUCAUUUUGGUUUGAAUGCUGUGGUGUGGUGAGAUUGAUUAUUUUGAUGCGUGUGUGGUGUUUGGUGCUAUUUUGGGUGUGGUGUGUGUGUGUAUGAGGUGCGUCACUGUGUAAAAAAAAAAAGAAGAUUGUUUUUUGUGUGUUUGUGUGUGUUUUGUUUGUUUGUUGUGUUUUGUGUGUUGUG